rnacentral:lncRNA from 1 species
UCUAAUGUCUUCUUAGCUCAAAAUUAGUACAAAUCUUGCUCCAAGCUCCAAGAAAUUACAAAAAUCCUAGACUAAAGAUAGAAAAUAAUAGGGAGGAGAGAAGCUGAAAAUUCCUACAAGGGAGGCUGCUCCCAAGAUAGAUAAAUUAGGUUAGAAAAUAAGGCUAAGGCCUUCUUUUAGACCCCUCUGUACGUGCUGAAAAUUACAAAACUGCCCCUAUUUCUGAUCUGCUUGAGCAGAUGCAAUGCGGAUGUGACGCGGAUGAUUAUUUUCCCUCACAUUUGACCUCUUGAUGACUUGAAUAACUUGCAUGAUUUUUCCAAUCUUCUCUUUUUAAUUUUACCUACAUAAAUGAGCAUUAAGUAUGAGAGCACCAUCAAAAUAAAUGAAAAAACAUGAUAAUUUAGGCUUAAAAGGUGCUAAAAAGUCAUCAAAUUGUCGACUUAUCAUGUGUGAUACACUGUCUUUGCUGAAUCAACAAAAGGUGUCAAAAUGACACACUUUGUGGCUACUUGAGGUGCCAAAAGUGAACAACGUCCACUUGAGGUGCCAAAGUGAAAGAUCAUGACAAGUUUAGGGAGGUGUCGAUGGGUUUGGCCAAUAGAUAAAAGUAAAUAAUAAUUACUACUUUUUUCGUUUAAAAAUGAGUGACCUACUUUGUUUUUUAUUUUAUUUCAAACAGAUUGAAAUUUUCUCUUUUGAUAACAUUUUAGUUUUAAUUUUUAUGUGGCAUAUUCAAGACCACAAAAAUAAAGGACAUAUUUGAUACAUUUAAUAUAACUUUAAUUUUAAAAUUUCAAAUUUUCCUAAAUUUCAUAGCGUGUCAAAUAAAAACAUAUAUUUCUUUUAAACGGACGGAAUAAUAACAAUAAAAUAAAGUAGUAACCACCAAAGAAUGUGGUGUAUUGGAUGGAGGUGCUCCUAUCUUAACCAGAGGUCUCGGAUUGAGCCUUGGGUAUGGAAAAAUCCUUGGUAAGGAGCGCUACCCCUGAAUGAGGCCCUACUCGGUGCGAAUUUGGAUUAGUCAGGAUCCAAUGCGGUUUCCAAACAUUAGAUGGGAAAUCAAAAAAUAAAAUAAAAUAAAGUAGUAAUACCAAAGAAUGUGGUGCAGUGGAUGGAGUUGCUCUACCUUAACCAAAAGUCUCGAGUUCGAGCCUUGGGUAUGAAAAAAUCCUUGGUAAGGAGUGUUACCCCCGAAUGGGACCCUACUCGACACGAAUUUGGAUUUAUCGGGCUUCAAUUCGGUUUUUGGACACCGGAUGGGAAACAAAAAGAAAUUAAAAAUAAAAUAAAGUAAUAGAAAAAAGAAAGAGUACCUCCUAAAACACUCCUAAAUUCAGACCUCCAAAUUUUCGAUCUAAAUUCGCCGGAGUACUCAUCGAAAAAAAGUAUGAACGCCGCUGAAAAUAGCCGGUGCUGGGACCGACGAGACAACACUAGGUUUUCUAAGAAGCAGAAACUCAUACUUAACACAGAAGAACAACUCGAAUCUAUGCUCGGAUUUGAUAUCUUCACUGAAGGCAAUAAACGACUCGGCUGGCUUCUUACACUUUUUUCUAUACUACUUUUACUUCUCAAAUUUUACUUCAGUAUAUUUUUUUUUGAAUUUCUUGUGAAUAUGUGAAUUGUCGAGUUUUUUUGUGAAAUUGUGAAUUUUUUUUAAAUUUCUUGUGCAAAUGUGAAUCUGUGAGUUAGUUUUUUAAAUUUUUUGUGGAAAUGUGAAUUUGUGGGUUAGUUUUUUUGAAUUUCUCAUGAAAAUGUGAAUUUGUGGGUUAGUUUUUUUGAAUUUCUCAUGAAAAUGUGAAUUUGUGAGUUAGUUUUUAUUUGAAAAAAUGUGAAUUUUUUAGUUUUUAUGUGAAAAAUGUGAAUUUUGUGAAAAAAGUAUAAAUUCCGCUGAAAAUAGUUGGUGUUGAGACUGGCGAGACAGCUCUAGGUUUUCUAAGAAGCAGAAGCUCAUACUUUACUCCGAAGAAUAGUUCGAAUCUAAUCUCGGAUUUGAUGUCUUCACCGAAGGCAAUAAAUGACUCGGCUGGCUGCUUACUUUUCCUCUGUACUACUCCUCCUCCUCAUUUUCUUUGUAAAAAUGUGAAUUUUGAGCUCUUUUUUUUUUUUUUGGAAAUGUGAAUUUGUGAAUUUUUUUUUUUGUGAAAAAUGUGAAUUUUGUGUGUUAUGUUUUUUUUUUUUUGUGAGAAAUGUGAAUUCAGAGAUUUUUUUUUUUUUUUGUUGUGAAAAUGCGAAUUUUGAUUUUUUUUUUUGGUUGUGAAAUUGUGUUUUUGAUGUGAAUUAUUUUUUGUUUGUGAAAAUGUGAAUUUUGUGUGGUAUUUUUUGAUUUUUUGUGAGAAAUGUGAGUUUUGUCAAAAAAGUGUGAUUUACGAUGAAAAUAGUCGGUGAUGAGACUGGUGAGACAACACUAGGUUUUCUAAGAACUAGAAAAUCAUACUCAACUCCGAAGAACAGCUCGAAUUCGAUGUCUUCACCGAAGGGGAUAAACGACUUGGCUGGCUUCUUACUCUUUUCCUCUGUACUACUUCCACUCCUCAAAUUUUACUUCAGUAUAUUUUUCUUUUGAAGUUUUUGUGAAUAUGUGAAUUGUCGGGGUUUUUUGUGAAAUUGUGAUUUUUUUUAAGUUCUUGUGGAAAUGUGAAUCUGUGAGUUAGUUUUUUUUUAUUUUUUUGUGGAAAUGUGAAUUUGUGAGUUAGAUUUUUUGAAUUUCUCAUGGAAAUGUGAAUUUAUGAGUUACUUUUUAUGAUUUUUUUUGUGGAAAUGUGAAUUUGUGAGUUAGUUUUUUUUGUGAAAAAUGAGAAUUUUGUGAAAAAGUACAAAUUCCGCUAAAAAUAGUCAAUGUUGAGACUGGCGAGACGGUACUAGGUUUUCUAAGAAGCAUAAGCUCAUACUUAACUCCGAAGAAUAGUUCGAAUAUAAGCUCGGAUUUGAUGUUUUCACCGAAGGCAAUAAACGACUUAUUGGCACAAAAUGAUUAACCCCUAUUUAGUUAGUUCAGUUAUUAGUUCAUAGUUUAGUUUAGUUAGUAUUAUUGUUUCAGCAAUUCUACUUUGUUUAGGAUACUGCAUUCAACUCAAUGUUUAGUUAUAUUACGUUAGUAGUGUUUGUCUUGGAUUCUUAUUUUCUCUGUAACUAUAUUUAAAACGCUUUCUGCGUUCUUCAAUAAUAAUUUUGUCCAACACUUAUUCUGCGUUUAUAUAGUAUCAGCGCUCUAUACUCUUUAACGAGGACAAUCCUAUUUUUUCCCUUCUCUCUUCCUCACACAGAUCAGCAUCAAUGGCCAACAACAAUGGCAACAAUCCCAGAUUUUUUAAUGCUGAUAACACAACAGGUGCUAACAUUAUCAUUCAAUUCAACCCUGCGUCCAAAUUACCCAUCAAACUUAGCGGUGGCCACAACUUUGCCACCUGGAAAGCUUAAUUAUCCAUGCUUAUGUAUGGUUACAAUCUAUUUGUCCAUCUCGAUGGGAGCACUCCUGCCCGUACUCGCACCCUCACCAUUGGAAAUAACAUAUUUCCCAAUCCUGUCUUUUUAACUUGGUUCCGUCAGGACCAACUCAUCCCGAAUGCCCUCAUGGCAUCUAUUGAACCCACAAUUGCUGCAACCAACUCUGCCAAAUCAGUUUGGGACACUGUGCAUACUACUUAUGCAAACAGAUCACAAACCCGUGUCUUCAUCCUACAUGAUCAACUUGCUCGCUUCACUAAGGAAUCUUGCUCCAUCACUGAAUAUCUUCAUACUAUUCGGUCCCUUUCGGAUGAGUAGCUACUGUCGGAUCUCCUGUGUCCAAUCCUGAGCUCAUCGUCAUGAUACUUAGCAGUCUAGGUCCUUAAUUUUGUGAAAUCUCUACUGAUAUUCGUGCACGUAAUACGGCUUUCUCAUAUAAGGAAUUGUUUGAAAAGCUACUUGACCGUGAACUCUUCCUUCGUCAUAAAGAUAUUAAGAAACUUUCCAGUCCUAUAACUAUCGCGGUCGCUACUCCCACAAAAUCCAAUGCCAAUAACUUUACCAAUAGCCGGCAGAAUGAUAAUUCUCAAUAGUGGCACCAGAAUUCACGUCCUAACACUAAACCACAGUUGCAGUCCAACUCCAAUAAAAAACUUUCACUCGAUGUCAACUAUGCAAUUGGAUUGGCCAUACCGCCAAUGUUUGUUGUUGAAAGUCUCAUAAUCACUUAGAAGUCAAAGCCAACUAAUCUGCUGGAUUUACUGCUACCACCAAUCCUUGGAUAGUCAACUUUGGAGCCACCCAUCACAUCACAACGGAGCCACAUAACCUACAACCAUACCACGGUAACGAGGAUGUAUCCAUGGGUAACUAUAACAAAAUUCCCAUCUCCCAUACUGGUUCUACUCAAUUAAAUGCAUCAAACAAUGUUUUUAAGCUAAAUCACACUCUUUGUUCCCCAUUUAUUAAACGCAAGUUUCUUUCUGUUUCAAAAUUUUAUCAAUAUAAUUCAAAGUCCAUUGAAUUUUUUCCCUUUGAUUUUGUUGUGAAGGAUGAAAAUGCGGAAACCACUGGUGCACGGUCGGACCAACAAUGGCUUGUAUGAGUGGCUCGUUUCACAUCCCCAAGCUCACAUGACUACCACAUCCACUCCUCUCACUACUUGGCAUCAGCGUUUGGGUCAUCCCCACUUCAUAGUUCUUAGGUUUAUUUUAAGUAAAUUCUCGCUACCGUUUUAUGAGCGAGACAAACCUUUUUAUUGUAAUUCUUGCUUAUCUAAUAAAGAAGAUCGGCAUCUUUUUACUCAAUUAUCAUUAGGCAGCUCUAAACCGCUUCAAAUAUUCUUAGUAAUUUAUGGGGUCCAUCACCAGUCUUAUCUCUUGACAAGAAAUUAUAUUAUUAUAUUUUUGUUGAUAAAUAUACUUGGCUUUUGUAAGACCCCGCAAAAUCGCAAGUCGAAAUCAACUUGUUAAGCUCCUUAAGCUUUUUAAAAGCUCCAACACUUAAAAAAUUUUAGCUAAGUAUUCAACACUUAGUCUCAUUUUUAGCCUUCAAACUUCGAAGAUUUAUUUGACGACCUUCCCGACCUCCAUUUUUUUAUUUUCAAGUUGCAUUAUGAUGGGGCAAGACAAUAGUACAUUUGGAGUAAGUUUUGGAAUUUUUGGACUCCGUUUAGGGCAUGUUUGGAUUUCAAACCAGUAGCAUCAUGCGAUUAGCAUGCGUCACAUGGUCCAUUCCACUGGUCCUAGAAUGCGAUAGAGCAUGCGACGCAUGCACCAGUUCGGAGGAAUGGAGUAUGUGACGCACGCUCCAUAGCAUGCUGCCUAGUUUUUCAGCAUUCAACCUCCGUGUAUUGAGGGUUAAUUUGGUCAUUUUACCACCAUAUAUAUACUCUCUAAUAGGGGAUUUAGCCCCAAUUGAAGCAAAAAUACUCUUUUUCUCAAAAUUCUCUCAAGAACACAAGCUAGGGUGUUCAUAGAAGAUCCAUUUACAAGAAAUUCUCUUUGUGAAACUUCAUGAAAUAACGAACUAAGGUAUGUGUUGUGUUGAUUUAUGAAUUCCUUUCAUCCAUAAAGCUCAAGAACCCUGUUUUAAAUUAUAAAUUUUGAUGUCUAUAUUUUUGGAUGUUGAUGAUCAUGUUGUUGAUGUUGAAUGAUUCCUAAGUUGGAAUCUUUAUGUGUUUUUAUGAAUCUAUGAUAUCAUGUGAGUUGGAAACAUGUAAACUUUGUUGUUCAUGAUGUAUAAUUUGAUGAUUACACCUAUGCCUAAGUUGUACAUGUAAGGUGUUUGAUAAAAUGCCUAAGAAACUAUAAAUCAUGCAUUAUUGCUAAAUUAUGACCUAAUUGACAAAUGCAUGCUUUAACCUUGUGAAGAUAAUGACUUAUAUGAUAUUGUUGUAUGUUAUGAUUGUUGAUGGGGUGCUUAUGAAACUAGAUUGAUGAACUUAUGACAAUAUGAUAUAUGCAUGCUAUCUGAUGUUCCGGCUUCCGACGGAACAUCUUUAGGCCUUUUUCUUAAGAUAAAUGCAUGUUUGAUCAACUAAUGUUGUAUUUGAUAUUGUAUUUAAGUGUUUUCAGGACAAAACCCAAGUGGGAUAAAUUACUUAAGAAAAUGGGCAAAACCAGAAGAAAAUUACAUGCGAUGGAGAGUUUGACAGAUCGGCAGAACCUCGACGGACCGUCGGGACCCACCGUUGCAAAGGAGCAGAAGACCAGGCCACUGGAAUCAUGCGACGAUGGCAUGCAACAGACCAUCGGACUUACGACAGACCAUCAAAAGACACCGUCGUGGCUGAGCAAAAUCCAUCGACAUUGGAAUCAAGCAAUGGUCACGUGCGAUGGACCGUCGGACAUGCGACAGAUCGUCGACGUGCACCGUUACACUUGGCGCGACAAAUUUCAAGUUUUAAAUGUGAAACCCUGAUUUCAAGAGUCCUAUAAAUACUAAGUGAUAGGGUUUAUUUCAGACACUCUUACAUUUUCAUUAUUAUCUUCCACACUUUCUUAGCCUCCUUCUUAGCUUAGUGUUUUUCUUUCAUUCCCACCUACCUUUGACUUUUCUUUUGGAAGCUAGAUCUGAGAUCUACAUUUCCAGAUCUAGCUCUCUACCCUUCUUUUGUAUCUUGUUUUUCUACUUCUUUUGUAACUUGGCAUAUUGUGGGAAGUAAGCUUUAGCUUUGGGAUUUUAAUCAUUUUAUUUGUACUGAAGACUCAAGAACACAUUCUUGUCAUUGUUGUAAAUAGAUCUUAAAUUAUUUAUGAACAACAUAAUGAUAUUUUUUGCUUCUUCUAUGGAAA